ACAUAUGGGAUAUUUUUUUUAAAAGAAAGAAUUAGACUCGCAAUUUCUUUUAGGUCUCCUUCGCCUUAUGCGCAGCGCUCUUUUCUUGCUGUCUACCGUAGCAGUUCCACCGGUCUUUGCCGCCAUCUGAGUUCGUCUCUACUAGUGAUAUUUCUGAUGUUGGUGCCUCUUCUGCCGUUAGUUUCUUCUCUGCAAUUGGUAUCCUCGUAGAUGAUAAGGACCGAGAAAGCAAUUGGGACGAGUAGGGGGAAUUCGAUGGAUGAUGCCUGAUGUUAAUCAAUCGAGAACAGAGUCUUUCGAUCGCUCUUUCUAUGCUACAUUCGGGCAGUUGCUAAUAGUAGAGUUGCUUAUCAUUAACUACCCUGUCAAAGUAUUACCUGUUUGUUCAAAAUCUGUCAGGUAUCUAUCCAACUCAAUGAUAGUAUUGUUGUUCUCCUUAACUUCUUUUAAUCAAAAUAGUACUUUUGAGUCUUUAUGUGGAUGUUGUUCAUUCUGUUAUCUCGGCAUAGGGAAAAGCUUCAUUUGAAAAGGUAAUAUUUGUGAGUACAAUAAUGCUGUACAAUUUUUUUACAUGUUAUCUUUGACUAAAUUCUACUUUAACUGAGUUUCCCUCUUUCCUUUCUAUUCUCUUCAAGGGGCUUUGUUACCUAAAAUUGGCAUUCGACAAUAGUUAGUUGAACACGUGUUGGUCUUCAUAUUGAGCCGGAGCGUGCAAGUUUAGAGUGUGGCAUCUUGUGGUAAAGGUUCUUAUAGAUUUGGUGGCCAAACAACAUUAUUCUUUCUUAUAGUUAUGUAUUUCUACUCUUACAAAUUAUUUUUGCUCAUUGAUUCAAAGAUAAUUUCCCAACUUGUUUCAGAUUGAGGUAUAGUUGUUGUUAAUUGAAGACAAACUUUGGAAUAUAACAUAGAGGAUACUCGUAAAAAAACUGCAUUAUAUUUAUUUUCUACUUGCUAAUAUGUUAAGCCUAGGGUGUAAUUUUAACUUCAACGUCUUGCUAAUAUAUUUCUCAUUUUAUAAAUGUAUAGGUGACUACAUCAGACAAUCUUCUUGUCUCAAUUCAAGAGAGUAUCAAAUGGGCAGACACAUAAGUAAAUUGGAGAAGAAGCUCCUAGAAAAAGUAGCAGAAAGAGUGGAAGACAGUUGAAGAAGUAAAUAAAUCUCUUGUUGUUCCAAACUUACUUAGAUUUUACUUAGGUAUACACUUAUAAUUAGUUAUAGGGAUCUUCUUUUCAAUUUAUUUUACUUUAGUUCAAAUUGUCUAUGGUGAAUGACAUUUGUAUGUAUAUAUUUUGGAAUUGGAUGGUUAUGGCUUCUGGUAUAAUGAAAUGAAUAGUAGCUUUUGCACUUA